rnacentral:rRNA from 1 species
CAGUAGCCGCGGGAAUACGGAGGGUGCAAGCGUUAAUCGGAAUUACUGGGCGUAAAGCGCACGCAGGCGGUCUGUCAAGUCGGAUGUGAAAUCCCCGGGCUCAACCUGGGAACUGCAUUCGAAACUGGCAGGCUAGAGUCUUGUAGAGGGGGGUAGAAUUCCAGGUGUAGCGGUGAAAUGCGUAGAGAUCUGGAGGAAUACCGGUGGCGAAGGCGGCCCCCUGGACAAAGACUGACGCUCAGGUGCGAAAGCGUGGGGAGCAAACAGGAUUAGAGACCCCUGUAGUCCCUGUCUCUUAUAC